CACCGGCGGCUCGAGUGGUGGCCACUUUUAUUGGGUCUAAAGCGUCCGUAGCCGGCUUGGCAGGUCCCCUGGGAAAUCUGGCGGCUUAACCGUCAGGCGUCCAGAGGAUACUGCCAGGCUUGGGACCGGGAGAGGUGAGAGGUACCUCAGGGGUAGGGGUGAAAUCUUGUGAUCCCUGAGGGACCACCAGUGGCGAAGGCGUCUCACUAGAACGGGUCCGACGGUCAGGGACGAAAGCUGGGGGAGCGAACCGG
rnacentral:rRNA from 1 species